UACAGAGGGGGCAAGCGUUGUUCGGAAUUACUGGGCGUAAAGGGCGCGUAGGCGGCCAUCUAAGUCAGACGUGAAAUCCCCCGGCUUAACCUGGGAACUGCGUCUGAUACUGGGAGGCUUGAGUAUGGGAGAGGGAUGUAGAAUUCCAGGUGUAGCGGUGAAAUGCGUAGAUAUCUGGAGGAAUACCGGUGGCGAAGGCGGCAUCCUGGACCAUUACUGACGCUGAGGCGCGAAAGCUAGGGGAGCAAACGGG
rnacentral:rRNA from 1 species